AGAGUUUGAUCCUGGCUCAGGACGAACGCUGGCGGCGUGCUUAACACAUGCAAGUCGAACGGAAUCCAUGUGGUGGUAACACCGCGGAAGAUUUAGUGGCGAACGGGUGAGGAACACGUGAGGAACCUGCCCCAAACUUUGGGAUAACAGUUGGAAACGACUGCUAAUACCAGAUGCCGUUACUUUGUCGCAUGGCGAGGUAACGAAAGUUUUUCGGUUUGGGAGGGCCUCGCGGCCUAUCAGCUUGUUGGUGAGGUAAUGGCUCACCAAGGCAACGACGGGUAGCUGGUCUGAGNGGAUGAUCAGCCACACUGGGACUGAGNCACGGCCCAGNCUCCUACGGGAGGCAGCAGUGGGGAAUCUUGCGCAAUGGGCGAAAGCCUGACGCAGCAACGCCGCGUGCGGGAAGAAGGCCUUACGGUUGUAAACCGCUUUCAGCAGGGAAGAAAAUGACUGUACCUGCNGAAGAAGGUGCGGCCAACUACGUGCCAGCAGCCGCGGUGACACGUNNNCACCAAGCGUUGUCCGGAUUUAUUGGGCGUAAAGAGCUCGUNNNCUGUUCAGUUAGUUGGGUGUGAAAACUCCGGGCUUAACCCGGNNCCGCCACCCAAUACUGCUGUGACU
rnacentral:rRNA from 1 species